rnacentral:lncRNA from 13 species
CUCCAUUUUUGAUAGCCUGAGUUUUUAAUUUGGUUUUUAUGCUUUGCUGGUCCCAGACAAGGGGCAGAGGGGAAGAAGACAAAUGUCACAAUGAAAGACAAUGUCAGCAUCAUUUUCUGGAGUCAGAGGCACCUGGGCGGGGCCUACCUUUGAAGAGCUGACCUGAAUCUGGAGGUAAUGAGUGCUGGUUUUCCAGGGAAAGGCCAUGCCGUAUUUGUCGGGGGUGCUUGCCACCACCUCUUCCAUUCUUUGUAUCUGCUGAUGAGUCCAAGGUGCUCCAUCUUGGAACUCCAGGACCACGGAGAACUCCAACUGUACACCACACAGAGAAUAACGCUGCCCUCCUUGUUCACUGGUGUUUCCAUCCCAUAGCCUCCAGCACUGUGCCUGGCAUGUAGCAGGCACCCGACUCAUGUCUGUGACAGACUGAUGGAGUAGUGAUGCACUGGGGCCUGCCCCACUGAUAAACCCCCGGCUGAGGCAUGGGACAGGCUGCCCGCACCGCCUCUGCUCAGCAUCCGGAAUUGCGAAUUGCACAGCCAGGCCCGGUGACAUGCUCAUGCAGGAUAUGCAGUGAGGACCUAAGUGUCGGAGGACCCUUCCCUUCUGUGGACCAAGCCCUCGCCAGGGCAUGAGAGAAACGGGAGAGCAGAGGGAAAGAAGAUCUGGGUGUUUAUUUGGUGACAGAUAAAAUCCACUUCUGGACUGAUCCUGCCACUGCCCGGAGCGGCCUCUAGAUGGCAGUUUCACACGGGAGUUACCUGCACGGGACCUGAGUCAGAUCAGGCCUGAAUUCCAGUCCAGAUGCUGUUGAAUAUGACUUAACUAGAAUGGUUCUUUGAGCCUCAGUGUCUUCAACUGUAAAAUGGGGAUGAUUCAAUUGUAAAAUAGAGAUAGAGUUGCUGAGAGGCUUAAGCGGGUUGGGCAUGUGUUUAUGAAAGCCCGCCUUGUUUGUGUGGGCUGGAUUUCCCCUGUUGGUGCCAGCACGCAGCGCCCCCUCCCGAGAGCUGUCAGAUGCCCAGGAGCAGCCCGUGGUGGUGACGCAGGACGCUGCUGUGGUAAGCCAGGACUCCUGUCCAUGAAUUGAGCCCAGGCCUCAAGGCAGCAGGCCUAG